rnacentral:ncRNA from 1 species
AUAAAGCUUUAUUAUGGCUUAAAAAUUAAGUUAAUUUUUAAUUUACAUGCGAGAUUUAGCGUUAAAAAAUUCUAUUUAGCAGUAUAUAAUUUUAUAUAAAUUAAGUAAAUUUAGAUAUAGUAAUAAAUUAAAGUACUAACAAAAUUUGUGCCAGCAGUUGCGGUUAGACAAAUAAUGCAAUUUAAUUUUGCCAGUUAGAGUUAAUUAACGAUUAAAAAUAAAUUUAUUUUGAUAAAUUAUAAGGUGAAAUUUUAAUUUUCAAUUAAAUUUAUUUAUAUGAAUGAAGCUCAGAAAAUUUUUAAAAGACUAGGAUUAGAUACCCUAUUAUUUUGAUCGUGAAUUUGUUUACUGAAUUAUUAUUAGUUAUGUUCUUGAAAAUUAAAUAUUUUGGCGGUAUUUUAAUCUACCCAGAGGAAUCUGCCCUGUAAUUGAUAAUCCACGAUUCGAACUACUUAUUAUAUGCUUGUAUAUCGUCGUUUAUAAGGAUAUUUUGUAAAAAAUAGAAUUUUCGAUAGGUAUAAAUAAUAAAUUAAAUCAGAUCAAGGUGCAGCUUUAAUAUGAAGUGGUGGGUUACAUUGCGAUUACGCUGAGAUUAAAAGUUUAAUACUUAUAUGAAUAUGGAUUUGGUUGUAAUUUCAUUUAGUUUAAUGAAAUGAUUGAGGCUCUAAAGUAUGCACAUAUCGCCCGUCGCUUUCGUUUAAUUUAACGAAAUAAGUCGUAACAUAGUAGACCUACCGGAAGAUGGGCCUAGAAUGUC